GGUUCCUUGGUCUAGAGGUAUGAUUCUCGCUUAGGGUACACCCUAUACAUCUAAAGCUUCGGCUUGCGAGAGGUCCCGGGUUCAAUUCCCGGAGGAACCC